rnacentral:tRNA from 1 species
CGCUAAAAAGCUGAACAAGGAGUAGCGUUAGCCUUUUAAGCUAAAAACUGGUGAUUACCGACCACCUUUAGCGA